rnacentral:lncRNA from 1 species
UACACUACUCAUAGUUGCAUUGUUUUGUGGAUGGAGGGAGUACUCCUAUUACCGUACGUACUCACUAGUAUACUGUCAGUGCUAACACUAUGAUGAUGUUUAGAAAAAAAUCAUAAAACCAAAAAGAAUCAUAAAACUAAAAAAUAACCAAACCUUCCCCACUAACAAAAAAGUUCCUUUUGAAAAGGAAAAAGAACCAACAACUCUCAGAUGGCCUUUGCCAAUACCAAUACAACUUCUUUUGCAAAUACAAAAUAUCACACUCAAAAAUUGAGGAACAAAUGCUAUGACCGUGCUAACACUAUGCAACAUUCGGGUAUAUGCAAAUUAGAUUGAAAUAUCAUUAUCAAAAAAAUCUUGGAAAUACUACAAAAUAUCAUUGUUGGCUUAGAGACCAACAAAUCAAAUGUACUAACAGAUUGGGUUGAAUGAACUCUAUUCUUUUCACCUGUUGAUGAUACAAUUCCUCUUUUCACACAAGCAAUAUUGAUG